UUCACUACCGCGACUCUCAAGUCUUACCUAGCUCAUGAGUCAUGACUCGAUCUCUCUCUCUCACGUGUCUCUCAGCGAUCUCAUGACUCUCACCCUGUGCGUAGGAUGAGGUGAUCUCUCUCUCACGUGAUUCUCAGCGAUCUCUCUCUCAGGCGACUCUCAUCCUGCUCAAGCAGGGUGAGAUGAUCUCUCUCUCACGCGACUCUCAUUGUUCGUGGUUUUCUUUCUCAACAAGUUAUUGGUUCCCUCAGGAAAUAGUACAGUCCGUAUAGGAAGUGCAUUUGCAGCAGAAUUAGGGACAAUGCAGGUCUCUGAGCAGACAGACACUCUGCGAGUACUUGGAGCUAAUCCUGUGGAUUACCUUGUUACCCCAAGGGUGAUUGCUACUUGUGUUGCUUUGCCAAUUUUGACUCUUAUGUGUUUCACCAUUGGAAUGGCUUCUAGUGCUCUCCUGGCCGAUAGUGUGUAUGGUGUUAGUGUCAACAUUAUAUUGGAUUCAGCUGUUCAUGGGGGGUUACCAUUCUGGGAGGUGCAAAAGGUGUUGGUGAGUCCACCACUUCGGCGGUGGUGAUAUCACUUGUUUGUAUCUUCAUUGCUGAUUUUGCCCUCUCCUGUUACUUCUUUCAGAGUGCAGGAGAUUCACUCAAGACCAUGUAAUGGUUCUUAGUCCCUCUGUUUCUUUUUGAAAAGUUUGUAAUGUCCAACUGGAAAUUCUCUAUUGUUAAAUUUUCUAAUGAUUGGUACAAUAAUUAUGAUGGCUUGAAGUUGAUCAA